rnacentral:rRNA from 1 species
UUUUUCCUAGGGAGGCAGCAGUGAGGAAUAUUGGUCAAUGGGCGAGAGCCCGAACCAGCCAAGUCGCGUGAAGGAUGACGGCCCUAUGGGUUGUAAACUUCUUUUGUCAGGGAGCAAUUGAGUCCACGUGUGGGCUUAGCGAGAGUACCUGAAGAAAAAGCAUCGGCUAACUCCGUGCCAGCAGCCGCGGUAAUACGGAGGAUGCGAGCGUUAUCCGGAUUUAUUGGGUUUAAAGGGUGCGUAGGCGGAAUAUCAAGUCAGCGGUAAAAAUUCGGGGCUCAACCCCGUCGUGCCGUUGAAACUGA